CAAAUAUAAUGGGUGUUUAGUAACAGUAUAUGAUUGUACAUUGCAUAAGCCUGCCACACGUCAAUGUACCCCAUCUUUGGCAAGUCCUACUCUAACAGCCUAAUGUCUGCUCUUAAGAGAUUAGCCCACUUACUUGGGGAAACAAUUUCCAUCUCAGGUUCUCUGCAGCACAAGGCUAAAUAGGACCCUGGAAUAAGGCAGCAGUGACAGGGAGGGGUGCAAAACCAAGGAGUUGGCCUGACUCCCAAAUAUAUAUGUAUAUGAAUCCAGGGGGCUGCACUCAAGUGGGGGAUAGCAACCAAAAUACAAGGUUUGGAAGUAGCAGAGAUGAAAGGUAAGAGUGGACAAGACAGAACAAGAUUCAGGUUUGUAAAAAAGUUAC